UACAGAGGGUGCGAGCGUUGUCCGGAAUCACUGGGCGUAAAGCGCGCGCAGGCGGCGAUCUACGUCUGGGGUGAAAGCCCGGAGCUCAACUCCGGGACUGCCUUGGAUACGGGAUCGCUUGAGGACUGGAGAGGAGACUGGAAUUCAUGGUGUAGCAGUGAAAUGCGUAGAGAUCAUGAGGAAGACCAGUGGCGAAGGCGGGUCUCUGGACAGUUCCUGACACUGAGGCACGAAGGCCAGGGGAGCAAACGGG
rnacentral:rRNA from 1 species